CCGCGAGGUGAGCAGAGGCUGGUCGGGAAGUUUCCCGGAGGCUCGCCCCGGGAACCCCGCCCCGCCGCCCUGGAAGCCCCUGUCUGCUCGCUGGCUUACCCCUAGGACGGGCAGCUCACCACUUCUCCCGAUCUCAGACUUACACCUGCCCUGCCCCGCCUGGCUGAUUCUCCAGCCCCAGCCGGAGAGCCACUCACCAUUUUGAUGGGCCGGAAGGACAUGAGCCGAUCACUGCGGUAGCUGCUCGACCAUGUGUUCCAGCGAGGGUACUCGCCCUUCUCCAGGAUGAACAUCUCCCCGCGGAAGUUGGACUGCUCAAAGGCGACCCAGCUGGAUACAAGAAGGACCAUGAGGCAGACAGGAGACAUAUGGGGGCUGCUGGGACCCUGCUCUCCCCAGAAGGAGACAAGGAUGAUGGGCUAUCACCAUGGGCUGAGACAGAAUGCAUCACAGGAGCCUCAGGUCUUUGUCUGAGAGAUGAGUUAACCACACUGGAGUAAAUUAAAG
rnacentral:lncRNA from 1 species